UGCAGUGUGGCAUAGUGGCUUGAAUGUUGGACUACAACUCUGGAGACCAGGGUUCAAUUCCCCGCUCGGCCA